GAUGAACGCUGGCGGCGUGCCUAAUACAUGCAAGUCGAGCGAACAGACGAGGAGCUUGCUCCUCGGACGUUAGCGGCGGACGGGUGAGUAACACGUGGAUAACCUACCUAUAAGACUGGGAUAACUUCGGGAAACCGUAGCUAAUACCGGAUAAUAUAUUGAACCGCAUGGUUCAAUAGUGAAAGACGGUUUUGCUGUCACUUAUAGAUGGAUCCGCGCCGCAUUAGCUAGUUGGUAAGGUAAAGGCUUACCAAGGCGACGAUGCGUAGCCGACCUGAGAGGAUGAUCGGCCACACUGGAACUGAGACACGGUCCAGACUCCUACGGGAGGCAGCAGUGGGGAAUCUUCCGCAAUGGGCGAAAGCCUGACGGAGCAACGCCGCGUGAGUGAUGAAGGUCUUCGGAUCGUAAAACUCUGUUAUUAGGGAAGAACAAAUGUGUACGUAACUAUGCACGUCUUGACGGUACCUAAUCAGAAAGCCACGGCUAACUACGUG
rnacentral:rRNA from 1 species